UACGUAGGGCGCAAGCGUUAUCCGGAAUUAUUGGGCGUAAAGAGCUCGUAGGCGGUUUUGUCGCGUCUGCCGUGAAAGUCCGGGGCUCAACUCCGGAUCUGCGGUGGGUACGGGCAGACUAGAGUGAUGUAGGGGAGACUGGAAUUCCAGGUGUAGCGGUGAAAUGCGUAGAUAUCUGGAGGAACACCGGUGGCGAAGGCGGCAUCCUGGACCGACGACUGACGCUGAGGAGCGAAAGCCAGGGGAGCAAAGCGGGG
rnacentral:rRNA from 1 species